GGAGAAGGGCUGAGGGGCAGUUAGGAUGGCUCUGUUUCUGAGGGCGCCUGAGCCUGGGGCUGGCAUUACACAUGGGGGCUUCGAGGAUGCUGAGGGUGAGGAGAGGUCGCCCUGCAGGAGCUGUGGGGCCUGUGAGGUAAGGCCCCAGGGAUGCCCCAUGAACUGGUUUGUCCGCUUCCGCUCCCAGGGGCCACAGCAGGCUUGGUUGGAGGUAGAGGUGUGCUGAGUGUGGAAGCCCAGGCAGCUUUCGCUGGGGCAGACACUCAGGCCGAUGCUGAAGACAGGCUGCUUGUCAGCCAGCGUGUCCCAGGGAGAGGGGAGCAGGUGUGGGGUUCCCGCUGGGCGCCGUCUGUGAUAAGCUCCUCGGCUUGCUUGGCAGGAGCCGGUCUUUGCAUGUAGCCCCUUUCUGAUGUGCUGUGUACCAUGCUGGUUUCUCCUGUCCUUGGUGCUGGCUGGGGGUGGGUGGGGGCUGAGGACUGUGGCCUCGGCCCUGGGGAAGGAUGGAGGGCCAGUGGCCCAGGCCCCUUUGAGCCGGGGAAGGACGUGACCAGGACAUUUAAACUGAGUUGGAGGGAGCAGCUGCUUUCCUGUCUUUGUUUCUCUGCUCCUUGGGGGCUGGGGUGGGGGUAGUCUGGCCUCCCCACCGGGGUUGCUCUUUGACCUGAAGUUUGUUUCUGACAGGGUCAGCUUUCCCUUCCUCCCUCAAUACUUGAGAACCUUCCCUCCAGCUCCACACUUACUGUUUCAAGCACCGCUGGGGCCUCGAGGUUGUUGGAUUGCAUUUCUGCGGAGAGGAGCCUAUGGGUUCUGCUGUCCUCCAGGGGCUCCUCCAUCGUGUGUGGGCUUUUCUGGACAAGUAGGGCAAGAGGAGGGUGGGCUGGGGUUGCUGCUCAGGGGAGACAGGCUCCAGGCCUGGGCUCUGAGGUCACUGUCCGGGGUUUUUGGUCUGGCUCAAGGUUGGGGAUAAGCCUGUGGCUGCCAGGGCUCCUGGGUGGGGCCUUGUUUGGGGGUUGGUAUUUGGGGUGAAGGUUCAGGAAGCUGCCGUCUAUGCAAUAAUAAACUUGCAUCUGCUCACAGGCUCUGCCUGGGCUGCGGGGUCUGCUUGUGGGUUCAGGACGGGGGACUAGUCUGAGGAGGAGGAGGGAAGCUGAGGACACUGGGUCAUGCUGGGUUAGGCCCUGCCUCUCUUACAGUUUCCAUAAUACCGCCCGUGUGGGCACCUGCUCAGUCGUGGGGGACUCUCUCACCCUAGGUUCCUCCUGAUUUCUGGUCACCUUGGCCCAGAGCGGCUUGUAGUGGGGCUCCCAGCCAGAGACUGAGGUGAGGCCACAGCCGUGAAGACACCACAUACUGGCCGUUGGACCAGUGAUCGGGCUUCCCCAGUGGAUCAGAUGGUAAAGAAUCUGCCUGCAAUGAAGGAGACCUGGGUUCAAUCCCCGAGUCAGGAAGAUCCCCUGGAGAAGGAAAUGGCAACCCACUCCAGUGUUCUUGCCUGGAAAAUCCCAUGGACAAGAGAAGCCUAGCGGGCUGCAGUCCACCAGGUCACAAAGAGUUGGACAUGGCUGAGUGGCUGAAUACACAUAGAGACUAGUGAUGAUUGACAAGGCCCUGGCCCUUUGACUUUGCUGAAAAAUAAUUCUAACAAAGAUGGAAGAUGAUGAAACAAGUGAAGUAUUUAUUAGAAGGGAAAAAAAGAGUACUGUAUAUGUGGAUAGACACACAGGCAGACUCAGUUGCAGGGUUGCACCCUCAUGGCAGUUUAAAUCACUUACAUGGAGCAUUUCUUCCAGUUUUCCUUUGGCUAAUCAUUUUGAUUUGCCUGGUUCCUAUUUGGUGUAUCUCAGGGCCCUCCCAUGUGCAUGCAUGCAUCUCUUCGCCAAGAUGGAUUCUGCUGAAGAAGCCUGUGGGUAGCUUGGCAUCAGCAUCACUCCCCCUUUGACCUCAAAGAACCCUUUCUGCGCAUGUGUAGUCAGGGAGGUCUCUUGACAUUGAGAGUGAGAAAUAAGUGAUCUGUUAUCUUCUGUCUGGGCAGGGCCCAGCCUCCUCUCUCAAUUGUCCUGCCAUUCUCAUCUUGAAGUAUCGGUCCACAGGGGACGAAUCUCCAGUUGCUUUCCCCUGGGUGCAGGGGCAUGUACCUCCUGCUUCACUGCUUGCCUCUGGACUCUGAGAAGGAAGGAAGUCCUCUCUCCAGGCAGAACAGCAAGUGGGGUGGAGGGUGUGUGUGGAGCGAGCGGGACGGGGUAAUGACACACAAAGUGUCUCCCAGCCCCCUCUGAUCUGGGAGGCAAGAAGCUG
ensembl:lncRNA